AUGAAGAAUCCCCUGAUAAAUCUGGGUGAUCUUUUUGUUGAAACAGGGCAGCAAUGCAUUUUAUUGUGUGGAAAGUAUGCAGGACUGAAAUAUAGGAUGGAGGGUGAGGGUGUUGCAGUUUUGGAGGGUUUUAAAUUUGUUACGAAAAUGAGGAGCUUAUGCACUAUUGUAGGUCAGAUUAUGCGAGAAGGAAGAGCAAGAUUUCAUAGAAUUAGAUAA